CAGAUUUGUCCUGUAGUUGGGGAUUUCACUUACAUUGAAUUUUUUUGUCGUGCGAUUCGACUCUUUCUGA
rnacentral:tRNA from 1 species